UGAGCAAUCUGCCCUUCACAUCGGAAUAACCAUUGGAAACGAUGGCUAAUACCGAAUAUGACUUCGGAUCGCAUGAUCUGAAGUGGAAGCUCCGGCGGUGAAGGAUGAGCUCGCGGCCUAUCAGCUUGUUGGUGAGGUAAUAGCUCACCAAGGCGAUGACGGGUAGCCGGCUGAGAGGGUGACCGGCCACACGUGGGACUGAGAUACCGGCACGA
rnacentral:rRNA from 1 species